rnacentral:lncRNA from 1 species
AAAAAAUCUUACAGAUUUGUCGUGAAGAUAUAUAAAACACAGACAAAUCUUUCAACAGAGAUAUUUUCUUAGUUAAACUAAGCCAGGCAGCUGCAACGCACUCAGUUGGGGCGAACACGAGACAUAUACUUGCAAAAGGAUUUUGGAAUUAGGCUUCGUGCCGUAGCAAUUACGCACCGACAGCAACAAGUAACAUAAUCGAGAGUCUAUCAAUGGAGGUGUACCUCAAUGAAACCGAAUGUCUCAUGUCGAGUUUAUACACAAACUAAAUAAACGUAUUUUAAGAAAACUUUAUGCUGAAACUAUUUCCGUUUAGGCGGCGUACAGAUGGACAGAUGGACAGAUGGAUAGCAAAGACGCGUAUGAUACAAUUGCAAUCCUUUUGACCAGUGUUACUAUUUUAGCCAUUUUGCAGCUAUAUUUAGCCGAUUGCGAAAGCAAACAGCCCCAAAAAAUUCGGUUUAGCCAGCAGCCGAUUUAUAAGCCGCUUUGCCAAGAAAAAUUAGCCGUUUUUUAGGCGAUUUUGCUAUUUGCAAUAUUUAAUGUUUAUUCUUUUUUAUGCAAAUAUAGCUGAUUACUUAAAAAAUACCAUACAGACCAUAGUAAAUGGAAAGCAAAAGUGAAAAGUGAAAAGUGAACCGGUUCGGGGAAAAUAAUCACGAUAAACAGUAGGCAAUGCAAUUUUGUCGCAAUUAUAGCCAUGUUUACGUGGGAAGAGAUCCGAAUCCGCAUACUAGCUGUCUUUUCAUGCACAUUUAUCGGUAUCCGCAUACAAAGUUUGCACUAAAAUAUAUUAAAUUAAUUAAAACAGCCAUUUCUUCACGUUUUCUUUAUUAAUUUUUAUUGUACAUCACACAUUUUCACUAAUUAAAUUAAUUAAAAGACCUUUGAUAUCGUAAAAUCGAAUAAUAUACAAACGUCGAAUAUUUAGCGCCACAAGAAACGGCCGUUUUACAAUACUGUUUCUCGCUUCUACCUUUUCUCCUACAAAAUUAUUGUUCACUCUCUCCAUCUACCGCAUUUAUCCCUAUAGUGUAGUGACAAUUUGACGUGAGAAAACGUUGAUGAAUACGAGGAUCGUAAAGUUCGCAUAAUUCGCUACAAAAAAAAGCUGUUUUAUUUAAAAAAUCUUACAGAUUUGUCGUGAAGAUAUAUAAAACACAGACAAAUCUUUCAACAGAGAUAUUUUCUUAGUUAAACUAAGCCAGGCAGCUGCAACGCACUCAGUUGGGGCGAACACGAGACAUAUACUUGCAAAAGGAUUUUGGAAUUAGGCUUCGUGCCGUAGCAAUUACGCACCGACAGCAACAAGUAACAUAAUCGAGAGUCUAUCAAUGGAGGUGUACCUCAAUGAAACCGAAUGUCUCAUGUCGAGUUUAUACACAAACUAAAUAAACGUAUUUUAAGAAAACUUUA